UGGGGGAUAUUGCACAAUGGGCGAAAGCCUGAUGCAGCGACGCCGCGUGGGGGAUGAAGGCCUUCGGGUUGUAAACUUCUUUUGCUCUGAACAAGGCGCACCAUGGGGUGUGUUGAGUGUAGGGGUUGAUUAGCGCCGGCUAACUACGUGCCAGCAGCCGCGGUAAUACGUAGGGCGCGAGCGUGGUCCGGAAUUAUUGGGCGUAAAGGGCUUGUAGGUGGGUGGUUGCGUCUGUCGUGAAAGCUCAUGGCUUAACUGUGGGUUUGCGGUGGGGACGGGCGGGCUUGAUUGCAGUAGGGGAGGCUGGAAUUCCUGGUGUAGCGGUGGGAUGCGCAGAUAUCAGGAGGGAUACCGGUGGCGAAGGCGGGUCUCUGGGCUGUUACUGACACUGAGUAGCGAAAGCAUGGGGAGCGAACAGG
rnacentral:rRNA from 1 species